AUUGAACGCUGGCGGCAGGCUUAACACAUGCAAGUCGAGCGGAGAGAGGUAGCUUGCUACUGAUCUUAGCGGCGGACGGGUGAGUAAUGCUUAGGAAUCUGCCUAUUAGUGGGGGACAACAUUUCGAAAGGAAUGCUAAUACUGCAUACGUCCUACGGGAGAAAGCAGGGGAUCUUCGGACCUUGCGCUAAUAGAUGAGCCUAAGUCGGAUUAGCUAGUUGGUGGGGUAAAGGCCUACCAAGGCGACGAUCUGUAGCGGGUCUGAGAGGAUGAUCCGCCACACUGGGACUGAGACACGGCCCAGACUCCUACGGGAGGCAGCAGUGGGGAAUAUUGGGCAAUGGGCGCAAGCCUGAUCCAGCCAUGCCGCGUGUGUGAAGAAGGCCUUAUGGUUGUAAAGCACUUUAAGCGUGGAGGAGGCUACUUUAGAUAAUACCUAGAGAUAGUGGACGUUACUCGCAGAAUAAGCACCGGCUAACUCUGUGCCAGCCGCCGCUGUAAGAC
rnacentral:rRNA from 1 species